UCGCAAGCCUGAUCCAGCCAUGCCGCGUGAGUGAUGAAGGCCCUAGGGUUGUAAAGCUCUUUUGUGCGGGAAGAUAAUGACGGUACCGCAAGAAUAAGCCCCGGCUAACUUCGUGCCAGCAGCCGCGGUAAUACGAAGGGGGCUAGCGUUGCUCGGAAUCACUGGGCGUAAAGGGUGCGUAGGCGGGUCUUUAAGUCAGGGGUGAAAUCCUGGAGCUCAACUCCAGAACUGCCUUUGAUACUGAGGAUCUUGAGUUCGGGAGAGGUGAGUGGAACUGCGAGUGUAGAGGUGAAAUUCGUAGAUAUUCGCAAGAACACCAGUGGCGAAGGCGGCUCACUGGCCCGAUACUGACGCUGAGGCACGAAA
rnacentral:rRNA from 1 species